GACGAACGCUGGCGGCGUGCUUAACACAUGCAAGUCGAACGCUGAAGCUCAGCUUUUGUUGGGUGGAUGAGUGGCGAACGGGUGAGUAACACGUGAGUAACCUGCCUCCUUCUUUGGGAUAACGCCCGGAAACGGGUGCUAAUACUGGAUAUUCACUGGUCUUCGCAUGGGGGUUGGUGGAAAGGGUUUUUCUGGUGGGGGAUGGGCUCGCGGCCUAUCAGCUUGUUGGUGGGGUGAUGGCCUACCAAGGCUUUGACGGGUAGCCGGCCUGAGAGGGUGACCGGUCACAUUGGGACUGAGAUACGGCCCAGACUCCGACGGGAGGCAGCAGUGGGGAAGAUUGCACAAUGGGCGCAAGCCUGAUGCAGCGACGCCGCGUGGGGGAUGGAGGCCUUCGGGUUGUGAACCCCUUUCGCUCAUGGUCAAGCCGCAACAAUGGUUGUGGUGAGGGUAGUGGGUAAAGAAGCGCCGGCUAACUACGUG
rnacentral:rRNA from 1 species